GUCGAUUUCAAAAAUCGUGAGGGUUCAAGUCCCUCUAUCCCCAAUUARMC
rnacentral:tRNA from 1 species